rnacentral:lncRNA from 1 species
UCUUAAUAUUUCAGCAGAUGGUGCUAAGGUUUGUUGAAACAGCCUACAGUAUUCCCAGUUUGUUCCCACAUUUCUGGAUUCUUUGUAAUUAGCUCGCAACAUGCGUGAAAGUGAGCUCAGAUGUAACCUAAACCCAUGGAGCUUGGAAAAAGAAGCAUCUGCCGAGAGGAGCGGGGUUGAUCUUGAUUUGCUUUCAGGGAGUUGCCGCAGACUACUUAUACUUUCUUUGUCCAAGAAACAUUUAUUUUACAACCCACGGAGCAGUGCUGGGGAUGUAACUAUUUCUUGAUUGAUUCCUGUGGCACAGCAUCGUCUGCAGAGACCUGCAUUAUGUGAAGCAGCAUCUUCUUUCCCCUUGAUGUUGAAACUGGAUGAAGGAUCUUGUCAGGCUCACAGAGAGAAUGAGAGGACCAGUGGGACAACAGCAGUGAGAAGCUCAUCAGCUUCACGAACUGACCACAGACCAAUCAGUGAAUUCCUGUCCUGCUUUCACUUUGCUUUCCGUGCUAUGUGGAAAUAAGAGCUCUCCUCAUGGGUCCAGUGUGAGGAACAGAUAGCAAGCACUGAUUGGGUGGAACCAGCCAAAGGAUUGUCUCCUGGCUUGAUUCAGCUCUUCAGGCCCUGGAGAUGAAGUUCUGUGUCAGGCACCAAGCAUCUGUAUGCGGUAGGCAGCUGGAGGUCACUCUCUUGAUCACCUCUUGUGUGGACAAGUUUUCUUACAAGCAGAAGCCAAUCCCCAGGCAUCCUCUAGUGCUGACUGACGAGAUAGGAGCAAAACUCACGCAACCUGCCUUUCAGAUGCAAAUAGAACAUUCCUAAGUCCUUUGAGGCACUCUGCCAAUGUGAUAAAUAUU